rnacentral:rRNA from 1 species
CUCGAGCGGCGAACGGGUGAGUAACACGUGAGUAAUCUGCCCUUGGCUUCGGGAUAGCCACCGGAAACGGUGAUUAAUACCGGAUACGACACAUCACUGCAUGGUGCGUGUGUGGAAAGUUUUUUCGGCCAGGGAUGUGCUCGCGGCCUAUCAGCUUGUUGGUGGGGUAAUGGCCUACCAAGGCUUCGACGGGUAGCCGGCCUGAGAGGGUGACCGGCCACACUGGGACUGAGACACGGCCCAGACUCCUACGGGAGGCAGCAGUGGGGAAUAUUGGACAAUGGGCGGAAGCCUGAUCCAGCAACGCCGCGUGAGGGAUGACGGCCUUCGGGUUGUAAACCUCUUUCAGCACAGACGAAGCGCAAGUGACGGUAUGUGCAGAAGAAGGACCGGCCAACUACGUGCCAGCAGCCGCGGUAAUACGUAGGGUCCGAGCGUUGUCCGGAAUUAUUGGGCGUAAAGGGCUCGUAGGCGGUUUGUCGCGUCGGGAGUGAAAACACCGGGCUUAACUCGGUGCUUGCUUUCGAUACGGGCAGACUAGAGGUAUUCAGGGGAGAACGGAAUUCCUGGUGUAGCGGUGAAAUGCGCAGAUAUCAGGAGGAACACCGGUGGCGAAGGCGGUUCUCUGGGAAUAUCCUGACGCUGAGGAGCGAAAGUGUGGGGAGCGAACAGG